GGAAAAGCUUCGCAUAAAAUUUUAUUUCUGUCAUAAAUUUGACGGAAAAAUACUUUUUGUUUUACAAAUAAUUAAAUAGUGUUUAAACUGAUGUAAAGAUUGCACUGCAAUCUCCUUGUUUUUGGUUCGAAGAGACUGAAGGGGUAAUUUUACGCGACUUGUCAGAUUCACACUGAAAUCUUUGUCUGAUUAAACAAAUCAUUUUCAAGUGUGAUUUUUCUACUAAACGAUUUGUGGAUUUAUUUUAAAGAAACCAUUGAAGAAAUGGUUCAAUUUUUUUUCAAGUUAAAUAAAAUAAAAAACGAAGGAAACCGUUGUGAAUCGGGCAAAGUCCUUAAAAUUGCACCUACAGUCCUUUAAAUCAAACCUGAGCUGGGAACUUUAGAAUGGUGGAUAUAGAGAUUAAUGCUUAAUCCUCUCUUUUUCUUAAUCUCGAGACUAACUUAACCUUGUUCUUGUAUCCUGAAAACUGGAUAACAUUCAACCAAUAAGAGUCCCGUAUUAUAAGCCGGUAAAUUUGAAAUUUUGCUCGCCAUUUAAGAUUAAUAUACAGAAACGGGAAGGACUCUCAAUUUAAAAAAACCGGUUUUUGAUUUUUCUGUUUUAUAUCCAAAAAAGCGUGGAUUAAGCAUGACAUUACAAGUGUCCACAUUGGAUAUACGGAUUAAGCAGUCAGGAUUAAUGGUAUCCCAUUCUAAAGUUCCCAGCUCUGCUGUGUGGCAUCUUGAUUAAAGAAAAGACGGUUAAAUGAGCUUUGAGGUUAUUUUGAUAAAUCGCUCAAUAUAAUAAUGUUAAAUAAUAAUUGAUAAUAAUGUUAAUUUGAUUAUUGCUUAAAUUUAUUUAAUAAUGAGUGUUGGAUAAUUCUACAUUUGUACAUUAGUUAGUUCUUGGCCAUUGGCCGACCCCCUGUUGGCAUAUGUAAGAAAAAGGUCUUUAGCACUUAAAGGGACUGUAAGCUUAAUUUCAAGGGACCCACCAUGCAUAAAGGGGAAAGUCCGAUUUUCUAUGGUACCCUUUAAUCCUUUGUGUUUUCGUCGUGUACAGAGAUAUGUGUGUGUAAAGUUACCUGUACGCUUGUUUUCAGCUGAAAAUGCCGGUGGGCGCUGUACUGUACUGUAUUGAGAUGAGACUGUACGUACACAGUGUACACACCGUCAUUUUCAGUUGACUGGAAGCGUUUAGGUAACUUUACACAAACAUAUCUCUGUACACGACGAACACAAAGGUUUUAAGGGUACCAUUGUUAAUCGGGAAUUUCCCUCUUUGAACGGAGGGUCACUUUAAAUUACGCGUGCAGUCCCUUUAAACACAAUCAGAUUCAAGAAUCCGUAACCCAUUCAUAACAUCGUUGUUAGAGACCUUUCAAAGAAACUGUGAGAGUAAUUUCAAGUGAAUCUCUAUGGAAAGAUGUCAAUGCACGGUUCACUGCAAAGUGUCGUUUGAAAUUAUAAGUUAAUUAUAGACAAUAACGGGUCAAAAACAACCUUGUUGUUACCAAUGGUUUAUCACGUGAAAACCCGGUUUUGUUCCUCUAGCCAAACCAAAUAUUCCCGAAUUUUUUUUCAAAAUUAUUUUUGAUUUUUUGUUUUCUUACAAAAUAAUACAAAUUUUGUCAUUGAUUUUGUGUAGCCUGUUAAAAACAAAAAACUUGAUUCAAUGUUAAUAAUAAUAUAUUAUUAGAGAAAAAUAUUUAAACUUGUAAAUCCUGUUAACCCAAUUGUUUGUAAAGGGGGGGGGCAAACCCUUCCAUGACAUAAAAGUUGCCCCCCCUCUCUUGUACCAAUGAAAGCAUUUCUAAGAAACCGAGCACUGCAACUUUUUAUCUUCAUUUUGUAGAUUUUCAGAAUUCUUUUCCUUGCAUAUUUUUUUGGAAGUAGAAUAACAUCAACUCUUUAAAAUAUUAUAAACAAUGCACAAAAUGUGUCAAGUGUGGAAAAUUUAUACUUCUUAAGUUUUUUUACAUAAAUUAAUUUUGAUUUUGGCGGUCACUUACUUUAACAACUCACGCAACGAAAUUAAUAAUACAAAUGUACAAUGUAAUUAAUUUUGUUUCACCAGUUCGUUAAAUAUUACAGAUUUUCAAUUUAAAAGCUGAGUUUAAUCAUCUUCUUCUAUUAAAUCCUCCGAUAUACAGGGAUACUCACAAAGAAUGAGACAUCAGAGUUUAUCCAGUCGUUGUUCUCACACUUUAGGUUCCAUGGUGUAAAUUUGUUUUAUCUUUGACAAGUGAUCUGUCAUAGAUAGAAGUCUAAAUUUAACCAUAAGUUAGUUUAAUUCUAAGCGUUUUAGGUCGUCGUUAAAGUCUCCUCCAUUGUGGGUUAACCUGUACUUGUUUGUCUUUGAGAAUUUGCUUCCAGUGUAAUAAUUAAAAUUUAGUUAAAAGGGAAUGUUCGCGAAAAGGGAUCGGCAGCACAGGAUCAAUGAAUUCUAACUGUUUUUUGUUAUUGCUGAUCCAAUAUGGCCUUUUCUUUUCGCUUUUGUUCCCUUUAAUAUUGAUGAAAUACAUAUCUAAUGCUUAAA